UGGGCGUAAAGCGCAUGCAGGUGGUUUGUUAAGUCAGAUGUGAAAGCCCGGGGCUCAACCUCGGAAUUGCAUUUGAAACUGGCAAACUAGAGUACUGUAGAGGGGGUAGAAUUUCAGGUGUAGCGGUGAAAAUGCGUAGAGAUCUGAAGGAAUACCGGUGGCGAAGGCGGCCCCCUGGACAGAUACUGACACUCAGAUGCGAAAGCGUGGGGAGCAAACAGGAUUAGAUACCCUGGUAG
rnacentral:rRNA from 1 species